AAAUGAAUUGACGGGGGCCCGCACAAGCGGUGGAGCAUGUUGCUUAAUUCGAGGCAACGCGAAGAACCUUACCCGGGUUUGACAUGUUUAGGCCUGGCUGUGAAAGCAGCCUUUCCUUCGGGACCUUUACACAGAUGCUGCAUGGCUGUCGUCAGCUCGUGCCGUGAGGUGUUCGGUUAAGUCCGGCAACGAGCGCAACCCGUACUGUCAGUUACCAUCAGGUAAUGCUGGGGACUCUGGCAGGACUGCCCGUGUCAAGCGGGAGGAAGGCGCGGAUGACGUCAAGUCCGUAUGGCUCUUACACCCGGGGCUGCAAACGUGCUACAAUGGUCGGUACAAUGGGACGCGCCCCUGCGAAGGGUAGCCAAUCUUUAAAACCGGCCCCAGUUCGGAUCGCAGUCUGCAACUCGACUGCGUGAAGUCGGAAUCGCUAGUAAAGGGAUAUCAGCAACGGUCCCUUGAAUACGUUCCCGGGCCUUGCACACACCGCCCGU
rnacentral:rRNA from 1 species